rnacentral:rRNA from 1 species
ACUGUAUGAUAGCGCGUAUGUACCCGAGGGCCAACCUAAUAAAAGGCGCGCUGCGUUCCUCAGUCCCGCUCUAUGUAUUCGAAGAAGGGCUAUAACACAUCCGAGGAUGCCACGUUCCCUCCAACCUUUUCCACAGAUCGAAACUGAUGCUGGCCUGCCAACCGAGAAGUACACCGACAGAAUCGGCUGAGUCUCGGAAAGCAUGACUGACUUCAAUCGUUUCCCUUUUAACAAUUUCACGUACUGUUUAACUCUCUUUCCAAAGUGCUUUUCAUCUUUCCCUCACGGUACUUGUUCGCUAUCGGUCUCUCGCCAAUAUUUAGCUUUAGAUGGAAUUUACCACCAAUUUUGAGCUGCAUUCCCAAACAACUCGACUCUUCGAGAUCGCAUCACAAAGCAUUGGUAGUCUGUGUCAAGGACGGGAUUCUCACCCUCUAUGACGCCCUGUUCCAAGGGACUUGUACACAGGCCAACGCGGAAAACGAUUCUCUAGACUACAACUCGGACGACCUGAGGCCGCCAGAUUUUAAAUUUGAGCUCAUCCCGCUUCACUCGCCGUUACUAGGGGAAUCCUUGUUAGUUUCUUUUCCUCCGCUAUUGAAAAUGGAAAAA